UUGUUAUUAUCUUCCGCUGCGUGUUACGAACACCAUAUACGCAAUCCUGCACAAGUAGUGCAUCUUUUAGGCAUUUUUACAUUAAAUUUGUGAUCCCAAGUAUCCUUGGUUCAAAAGAUAAGAUUAACUCAACCUUUGAAACAUCUCAUCAUGGAUGACUUGGACAGAACCAGCCAUAUGUACUUGUUCUAAUUCCAUUGCCUUGUAACAACAGAGAUGAAAAUCACCAUGUGUCUUCAUUCAACUUCAGAACAAGUUGUCCUCACGUUCAUAUAAAAAACCGGAGGAGCUUUUUUCUUCUGCUCCACACUACCCUAGCCCUUAUCCCUUGUUUUAG
rnacentral:lncRNA from 1 species